rnacentral:rRNA from 1 species
UCAGUACGGGAGGCAGCAGUGGGGAAUUUUGGACAAUGGGGCGCAAGCCUGAUCCAGCCAUGCCGCGUGUCUGAAGAAGGCCUUCGGGUUGUAAAGGACUUUUGUCAGGGAAGAAAAGGCUGUCGCUAAUACCGACAGCUGAUGACGGUACCUGAAGAAUAAGCACCGGCUAACUACGUGCCAGCAGCCGCGGUAAUCUGA